GCACGAGUGGCCGACAGGUAAGGCAACCGACUCAUAAUCGGCGGCAUGCGGGUUCGAUUCCCGCCUCGUGCA
rnacentral:tRNA from 1 species